GAUGGAGAAGCAGGGCACGUGCAUUUCUAACUCAUUCGCAUAUACUGKGAUYUAUAUACUCAAUACUCUUAUUUUUCUCUGAGCUGCUAAAUUAUUACAAGUUUACAGAUAUAUAUCUCAUAUCCAGUGAUGAGUUAGUUGUUCAUGUGCCCCUCUUCCCCAUC
rnacentral:pre_miRNA from 1 species